AUUUACAAUCACUAAUUAUAUGGAACAUUACACUCCAACGAGGUUAAACACCUCAAAACGAGCGUUUGGAGUGACCCGGGUGACAUCUUCGGACGUAUAAUGGCACUAGGGACUUAGGAUUUGAGUUUACUCCCCAAGAGUAAACAUUUUAUGGAGUUUACGGCCAUAUAACACACACAUACAUGAGUUCACGGCCGUGAACUCAUGUGGGUGUGAUUUUGAGGGUUUAAUGGCUUGAAUGGACAUGGGGUAUGUUGGAAUGAACUUCUAAAAUGCCUUAGAUUAAUUUGUUUGGAUUAAUACCAUUUAAAAGGGAUUUCACGGCUGUAAACUUGGAGUUUACGGCCGUAAACUCUCCUAUGGUCAAGAGAAAAUUGAUUUGAGGCACUUAGAGCAAUCACAUGUGAUUCUAGUUAAUUUUCCAAGCCUUAGGGUGGUUUAAGAGCAUCAUUUGGCACACUUUUAUGAGUUUACGGCCUAUGAGUAUGUGCUAUGGCCGUAAACUCCUAAAUGUGGUGUUUUGAUAUGUUUAAAGCCUCCAAACUAAUUUUAGAUGGUUCUAUGAUUUAUUCCAAGGCUAUUGGUUGAGUUUCAAGGCAUUCUAACAUGUUAAAUGGUGUUUACUCCCCAUGUUUGAGGAGUUUACGGCCCAAUCACAUGCCUUGGCCAUAAACUCUCUUUUGUCCCUCAAAGUUUAAGAUUUAAGUGUUUCAAGUCCCGAUUUGUAAGUCUCAAAGUCAUAUCUAAGUCCCAACAAUGAUUUGGUAGGGUUAAUUGGCUUAAAAACCCCAUUUUUAAGUGUUUACGGCCCAAGCUUGAUCUUUGGCCGUAAACACAUGUUUUAUGUCCUAAAAUCAAAUUAAACAUCAAUUUGAAGGCUAAAGAGGUUAGAUAACAAGUUAGGGAUGUUACCUCUUUGAUUUGGAGCCUUAAAUCUUUGUUUUUGGACCUUUGAUUAUGGAUGAGGAGAGAGGUUGGAGAGUGAUUAAGGAAAGAUGGCCAAAAGCUUCAAAUGAAAGCUUUGAGUCCUUUAUAUAGUGCUCGGGAAUUGGACACGACGGAAUUCUACCCGAUACCGACGUUAGGCGGGGCUUUUGGUCGCACCCGAUCAAGUUGCCAUAACCCGAUAUUGUCGAUUCUAGAAUUAUUCCGAUAACUAAUAUGGGGCGUUAGAAUGAUUUCAAAUGGCAUUAAGACACCCAUUAAGUCAUUNAGUGGUUUAAGAGCAUCAUUUGGCACACUUUUAUGAGUUUGCGGCCUAAGAGUAUGUGCUAUGGCCGUAAACUCCUAAAUGUGGUGUUUUGAUAUGUUU
rnacentral:lncRNA from 1 species